ACAAAUGCUAGCCCACACACAUCUAAACUCAACUAACAACACUUAAUAAAACAAAACAUUUACCCGAAUUAAAAGUAUCGGAGACAGAAAUUUUACCAUGGCGCUAUAGAGAAAGUACCGCAAGGGAAAGUUGAAAGAUGAAUUAAAAGUACAAAACAGCAAGGUUUACCCCCUGUACCUUUUGCAUAAUGAAUUAACCAGAACAACUUGACAAAGAGGACUUAAGCCAAGAACCCCGAAACCAGACGAGCUAUCUAGGGGCAGCUAAAAGAGCGACCUCGUCUAUGUAGCAAAAUAGUGAGAAGAUCCCUAGAUAGUGGUGAAAAGCCUACCGAGCCUGGUGAUAGCUGGUUGUCCAAGACAGAAUACUAGUUCAGCUUUAAGUCAUGCCUUACAAACCCACAAUUUAAAUGCAGACUUAAAACAUAAUCCAAAGAGGUACAGCCCUUUGGAAAAAGGAUACAACCUUGACUAGAGGGUAAGUAAAAAAUUCCACAUAGUUGGCCUAAAAGCAGCCAUCAAUUAAGAAAGCGUUCAAGCUCAACAACCAAGUCAAAUCCUAAUCCAAACAGUCAUCCACGAACCCCUAGUACGAUAUUGGACCACUCUAUUUUUAAAUAGAAGAAAUAAUGUUAGUAUGAGUAACAAGAAUUAACUUCUCCCGGCACAAGUCUAUAUCAGAACGGAUACUCCACUGAUAGUUAACAGCAAAAUAAAACCAACCCACAACUAAAUCACUUAUUUAUCCAACUGUUAACCCAACACAGGAGUGCCCUCAGGGAAAGAUUAAAAGAAGUAAAAGGAACUCGGCAAACACAAACCCCGCCUGUUUACCAAAAACAUCACCUCCAGCAUAUCAAUUAUUGGAGGCACUGCCUGCCCAGUGACAUUCGUUAAACGGCCGCGGUAUCCUGACCGUGCAAAGGUAGCAUAAUCAUUUGUUCUCUAAAUAAGGACUUGUAUGAAUGGCCACACGAGGGUUUUACUGUCUCUUACUUCCAAUCAGUGAAAUUGACCUUCCCGUGAAGAGGCGGGAAUGUCCAAAUAAGACGAGAAGACCCUAUGGAGCUUCAAUUAACUAGCCCAUAAAUAAAAUAAUACAACUCCAAAAGGACCUAAAACUCCCCUVAAUGGGCUAACAAUUUAGGUUGGGGUGACCUCGGAAUAUAAAAUAACUCCCGAGUGAUUAAAAUCUAGACAAACUAGUCAAAAUAACAUAUCAUUAAUUGAUCCAAAAAUUUGAUCAACGGAACAAGUUACCCUAGGGAUAACAGCGCAAUCCUAUUUGAGAGUCCAUAUCGACAAUAGGGUUUACGACCUCGAUGUUGGAUCAGGACAUCCCAAUGGUGCAGCCGCUAUUAAUGGUUCGUUUGUUCAACGAUUAAAGUCCUACGUGAUCUGAGUUCAGACCGGAGCAAUCCAGGUCGGUUUCCAUCUAUUCCAUUGUUCCUCCCAGUACGAAAGGACAAGAGAAACGGGGCCAACUUAACACAAGCGCCCUCAGACUAACAGAUGAAGACAAUCUUAAUCUAUUAAUCAUAAUAAAACUCAAGCCCAAGAACAGGGCUAUU
rnacentral:rRNA from 1 species